rnacentral:lncRNA from 1 species
AAGAAAAUUUAUACCUACACUCCCAAAAACACGUUCCAAACACUAACCAAACUGUGUGCCCGCUAGUUUCGAUGCUAUGGACCUUUUGGUAAUCCUAUCAUCGCCGUUAUUUUCGAUGUUCCAAACAAAAUGUCAAAUUUUUAACAAAAACAAACAAACAAACAAAAAGAUGAAAUUGACUAGAAGGGAGAAGAACUAAAGCUUUAAAACAGCUAAAAGUACUUCGAAUGAUCAAAAGCGUUUCUGCGUCAAGUUAGUAGUGCUUCUUACAUAUGCGGUCGCAAACAAGCUCUGACAUAAGUCUAUUUUAUUAUCGAAAAGUGCUUUUGGCUAUACUGACAUUCCCAAACACGCCCUAGGUUUUUGCGCUCAAAGAAAGCAGAGGACGGGUUUAAAGUUUGAAGUUGAGAGUAACGGACCU